GUCGUCAGCUCGUGUCGUGAGAUGUUGGGUUAAGUCCCGCAACGAGCGCAACCCUUGUCAUUAGUUGCUACAUUCAGUUGAGCACUCUAAUGAGACUGCCGGUGACAAACCGGAGGAAGGUGGGGAUGACGUCAAGUCCUCAUGGCCCUUAUAGGUGGGGCUACACACGUCAUACAAUGGCUGGUACAGAGGGUUGCCAACCCGCGAGGGGGAGCUAAUCCCAUAAAACCAGUCGUAGUCCGGAUCGCAGUCUGCAACUCGACUGCGUGAAGUCGGAAUCGCUAGUAAUCGCGGAUCAGCAUGUCGCGGUGAAUACGUUCCCGGG
rnacentral:rRNA from 1 species